GCGAUUCUGGGGGGUGGUAUCUGCCCAGCCCCCCUGAAAAAUUGUAAUUUAGGUUCUCUAAAAAAAUUUAAAUUUUAAAUUAAUAAAAAUAAAAUUACACUUUAAUUCCUUUAAAAUUAUAAAAAUUUAAUUUAGUCCUUUAAAAAAUAUAAAAACAACUAUAAAAAAUUAAAAUUUCAUUCUGCCCUUAAAAUAUUGUUGUGGCUUUUCCCCUGCUUUCUUCCAUGGCAGCUUCACUGAUUCUUUUUGGGCUCUUGCGUUUUCCAUUUCCCACCAACUUUCCUUAAUCGAUUUCAGCUCUCAUCGAACCCUUUCCUUCCAUGGCAGCUUCACCAAUUCUUUCUGGUUCAGUCGCUCUUCCAUUGUCGGCCAACUUUUCUUUGUUUUUCCGUCGACAGAGUCCACCACUGUUACUCAAUUGAGGUUGGGGGUUACCUCCACUGAUUCUUUGGUCGAUGUAUGUUGAGAUUGAUUACAAGAAACGAUACAGCAGCAACUCCAUUGGCAGCUAUCGUUAUCCCAAUGAUGGUUGCACCAUUGCUUCUAGGAAGCUGACCAGUAGCAACACCAUUGAAGCACCAGCAACCACACUGCCAACAGGGCCUUCAUCGGUACCAGCAUAGAGGGUGCACCUGCAGCUUUACCAAUGUUUCCAAUGUCACCAUUGAUGUCGGGUGUAGCGGAAACAACGGUGGUGGCGACAGUCUUGGUGUCAGCAACAACUGUUUCUGCUUGCCUUCUAUUCUUCAGCUUUUUCGCUUUUCCCC
rnacentral:lncRNA from 1 species